rnacentral:tRNA from 2 species
GGAGAGGUCGCAUAGUUUGGUCCAUUGCGGGGGAUUGCUAAUCCCCUGAGCCGCAAGGCUCGCGUGGGUUCGAAUCCCACCCUCUCCG